CUCUAUUCCAGCAGCCGCGGUAAUACGUAGGUGGCAAGCGCUGUCCGGAUUUAUUGGGUUUAAAGGGUGCGUAGGCGGCCUAUUAAGUCAGUGCUGAAAUAUCCCGGCUUAACCGGGAGGGUGGCAUUGAUACUGAUGGGCUUGAGUGAAGUCGAGGUAGGCGGAAUUGACGGUGCCAGCAGCCGCGGUAAUACGUUCCCGGGCCUUGUACACACCGCCCGUCACAUCACGAAAGUCGGUUGCACUAGAAGUCGGUGGGCCAACCCGCAAGGGAGGCAGCCGCCUAAAGUGUGAUCGGUAAUUGGGGUGAAGUCGUAACAAGGUAGCUGUAGGAGAACCUGCGGCUGGAUCACCUCCUUUCUGAGGAGGAGUCUCCGCCUCGGAUCCAAACGAGGUCGUGAAGGCGACACCGUCUAGGUGUCGACCGAGUUUGCCCUAGGUCGACAGGAAUCGCCGUACGUUGACCUGCUUGUAUUUCCUGUUCAGUUUUCAGGGCA
rnacentral:misc_RNA from 1 species